rnacentral:rRNA from 1 species
GAUGAACGCUGACAGCAUGCUUAACACAUGCAAGUCUACUUGAACUUCGGUUUGGGUGGCGGACGGGUGAGUAACGCGUAAAGAACUUACCUCACAGUUAGGGACAACAUUUGGAAACGAAUGCUAAUACCUGAUAUUAUGAUUUUAGGGCAUCCUAAGAUUAUGAAAGCUAUAUGCGCUGUGAGAGAGCUUUGCGUCCCAUUAGCUAGUUGGAGAGGUAACGGCUCACCAAGGCGAUGAUGGGUAGCCGGCCUGAGAGGGUGAACGGCCACAAGGGGACUGAGACACGGCCCUUACUCCUACGGGAGGCAGCAGUGGGGAAUAUUGGACAAUGGACCAAAAGUCUGAUCCAGCAAUUCUGUGUGCACGAUGACGUUUUUCGGAAUGUAAAGUGCUUUCAGUUGGGAAGAAAAAAAUGACGGUACCAACAGAAGAAGUGACGGCUAAAUACGUG